rnacentral:tRNA from 1 species
AAGGAUUUAAGUUAAUUUUAAACUUGUAGUCUUCAAAACUAUCUAUAAAGGUCCUUUCUUUAAGCCUUA